UCAUCAGUGAACACCACCUCCUUCAUCAGUGCUCACUCACUCACAGUCUGUCUCCAUUUUCAGCCCAAUCUGUUCUAAAGUAGCUGCUGUGGUUUUUGUGCAGGCGAUGCCACACACACACACACACUCCAGGUUUGCCUGUUUCUACCCGACUCAAAAGCCUCACGGAUUGAGGAACAGAGAAUAAUGUCUCCACCCAGUGGUCAGACAUGGGUAUAGCAUCCCCCAAAGAGCAGGACAGUUAGUGCGCAGCAGAGGGGCCCGAGCUGUAAGUCCAGACAACACCACUGCCCUUCACUCACACACACAAGAACUCUGGUCUUUUCUGGUCUGCAAACAGAAUCUGCUUACUUUAGCAUCAGUAUUUGUUAUCUUGUGAAGUGUUUUGCCUCUGUUUUUUAAAGCAGCCUGCCCUGAACAUGUCAGACUCAUCAGCAGGAAAUGUAACAUGGGAUUCUCUGCCAGAGGUGAAUGUGUCGUGAGAUUAAAAAAAGGAAUUUAAUCCGUGAAACAAAAGUUGUCCUUGUGUGUGUGUGAUCAUCGAUUAGAAGCUUUCCUGCUAUUUGCUCAGGAUGUAAAGUGCUUUCCAGAGGAAUAUGCAGUCGUGAAUACAGAGAGGAGAAGGUGAGUGUGUGUGAGAGUGUGUGAGAGAGGAGAAGGUGAGUGUGUAUGUGUGAGUGUGUGUGUGUGUGUGAGUGUGUGUGAGAGUGCACCUCUGCUGAAGGGCCAAGUGAGGCGAGAGCAGCAUCAGUAUUUAGGUCACAGCACAGGAGCACGGCCAUCUUUUGUGUCAGAAAUGAGAGUCAAAGGCCAAAGGUCAAAGGUCAGUCUCAUUCACAAACUGAAGAACCACACACACGCACGCACGCACGCACGCACGCACGCACACACACACACACACACACACACACACUGCCUCCCUACUCUCAGGCUCACUGAAGGACCACUGCCUCCCCACUCUCAGUCAAUAGCUGCUCUGGUCAUUGAUACAUCACACCCCUCUCUAUUUCUGCAACUCUCUCUCUCUCCCAUCAAAUUUGUUCUUGUUCCGUAGCGGCUACCUAACACAUCACACCUCUCUCUCCCUCUCUCUCUCCCCAACUCUCUGUCUCUCUCCCUCUCUCUCUCCCUCUCUCUCCCCCUCUCUCUCCCCCACUCCUAAAUCUGUAAUUUCUUCCCAGUGGCUCCUUCCGGCAGAGGAGGGUCGUGCUGAUUGUGUUUAUCCGUAUAGCCUUGGCUGUCAGAUGAAUUGUGAUUGGCCAGCCUUUGAGAGCAACAUUAAAGCACCCCUAAUGACAGGCUCCUCGGAGGCCUUUAGAGAUGCAACAGCCAUUGAUCCGUGUUUAAUCAAGCAGCCUCUGCUCUCUGCGUGAUCAGUGUCCUUUUGAGGGCUCUGAUGAGAACACUGCCUCUACACUCACUUUAAUGCCUGCUGGAGGACCUAACCCCCCCCCCCCCCCCCCACACACACACACACACACACACACACAC
ensembl:lncRNA